GAUGAAGAACGCAGCGAAAUGCGAUAAGUAAUGUGAAUUGCAGAAUCCAGUGAAUCAUCGAAUCUUUGAACGCACAUUGCGCCCGCCAGCAUUCUGGCGGGCAUGCCUGUUCGAGCGUCAUUUCAACCCUCGACCUCCCCUUGGGGAGGUCGGCGUUGGGGACCGGCAGCACACCGCCGGCCCUGAAAUGGAGUGGCGGCCCGUCUGCGGCGACCUCUGCGUAGUAAUACAGCUCGCACCGGAACCCCGACGCGGCCACGCCGUAAAACACCCGACUUCUGAACGUUGACCUCGAAUCAGGUAGGACUACCCGCUGAACUUAAGCAUAUCAAUAAGCGGAGGA
rnacentral:misc_RNA from 1 species